GGAUUAUGAUGACGGGGGAAGCAUGUAAAGGAAAAAAAACAAACUUGUUCAACAAAGAGGGGGCUCUGUGACGGCAAGGCCUGCGCAGGGGCACCAUGACUUUUUGACCUGCAGGUGUGAAGCACAGUGAAAUGGUGCUUGCAACUACCAAGAAAACUUGACCCCUGCGAGAUGAACAAGGCCAUGUUUAGUUACUCCCAACUUCCAACUUUGACACUAUGCAAAAAGAAG
rnacentral:lncRNA from 1 species